UAUACCAGUACCCGUACGAUCACCAAAGUUAAGCAACAUCGGGCCUGGUCAAUACCUAGAUGGGUGACCUCUUAGGAAUAUCAGGUGCUGUAA